ensembl:lncRNA
GAACACUAGAAGAGUUUGGAGAACACUAGAAGAGUUUGGAGAACACUAGAAGAGUUAGGAGAACACUAGAAGAGUUGAGAACACUAUAGAAAUAAAUGAGUCUCAUGGAUUGUUUCAUGUUUGACACUAUGGAAUAAUGUCUCAGAUAAAAGCAUGCAACUUUUCACCAGAUAAGCACAGAACAGAGAUUAACAAAAAGUAUCGUUUUUAUUUCACAACUUUGGAAUUGCCUUGGAAAAGUGCCAGUUUACUGGUACUCUGCAACUGUGGAACUUUCUGACAUUGAAGAACAUUGUACCAUAGCAGAGCUAUAAGACUGGGCCCCUCUAUCCCAGCACCUGUGUUCCAUAUACACAGACACAUCAAUGACACAUAGACAUACAGUAGAUAGAUGCUGUAGGUAUAGUGAUACAUGUAAAUAUAUAAGAUAGAUAUAGUGAUACAUAUCGUAGAUUCUAUAGCUAUAGAUAGACCCACAGUAGAUAGAUAUACUGGUGCAUAGAUAUAGUGAGACCUAGACACUGAAGCCAUGUUCGCUCUAUGUGCCACGACUCUCCUGUACUUCCUGUCUUUUAGCCAAUCAGCUCCUGCUGCAGCUCUAGCCUGUGAGGACCUCCUUAAGCCCAUGGAUCCACCACGACUAGACCAGCAGCUCUUGAGGAGAUGGGCCCUCGUCGCAGGCAGCUUGAGCCACCCUGCAUCCCUGGAGAGUCUCAAGACCAGAGACGGCAUCACCAUGGAGUUUUCACCCUCUACCCCCAACACCACCCAGAACUCCAACACCGCCACAACCGUCCACUACACCCAGACUAACCGUUUUGGCAGCCGUUGCGAGUCUCUAACCUACAAUAUCUCACUCAUCAACGACAACAGCACCUUCCAAUUCAACGUGGGGGGCCGAUUCAACCUCACUGGGGUCUUCCUGGAGACCUCCUGCCCAGACUGUCUGGUGAUGAAGUGGGUCAUUUAUAGAAUUGUACAUUUGAGCCAUUUAGCACACACUCUUAUCCAGAACAACUUACUGUUAGGGGUUAUUCCAGUGUUUUUCAACUCUGGUCCAGGUGUACCCACGUUUCUGUUGGAGAUCCACACAAACACACCUGAUUCUACUAGUCAACUAAUCACCAAGGCCUUGACAAGUUGAGUCAGGUGUGGUUGCCCAGGGCUACAGCAAGAAUGUGUACUGUUGGGGGGUAGAUUAGGGCUGGAGUUGAGAAACACUGGUGUAGGCUAUUCAGGUCAGGUAGGUAGAAACAACCACAUACUGCAUUACAAUCACUGCAAGUAAACCGUUCUUCAAAACACCCACUGGGCACAGAAGUCAUUUCACUGAAAUGACCCGUAACCCUAACCCUAACCCCUGAAAUGACCCCAAACCCUAACCCAAACCCUAACCCCUGAAAUGACGUGGAAACAACAUUGAUUCAACCAGUGUGUGCCCAGUGGAUAGCCUCUAUCCCCCUCAAACUCAACUCUGGACCUCUAAUCAGGGACUGAUUUAGACUUGGGACACCAGGUGGGUGAAAGUAAUUAUCAGGUAGAACAGAAGAACCAGCAGGCUCUGGAUCUCGUAGGGUAAGAGGUGAAUACGCCUGCUCUAUCAGCUAAACCAGUGCCAGGAAGAAGAACAAGUGCCGGUGUGAGUACAAGGAAAGUACAACAGUAAAGUAUCAUUAUUAUUUUAGGUGGGAGGUGAGCUCCAGGAGGAGGGAGUCCACGGACCUGUACCUGCUGAGGAAGACGGAGGGUGGGAGAGAGGUGGAGGAAGAGGAGAUGGAAGAGUUCAGGAAACAGGUGGAGUGUAUGGGGCUGCCGCCGCCAGUGGUGAUGGAGCCGGGGGAUGCCCACUGUGGGUCCUAUCAGCUGCCCUGGAAACACUGAGGAGGAGGAGAAGACGAAGCUCGAUCAGAGUGAUCCGAGAGUGGGGGCCGUGAGACCGAUGUAGAGACACGUUUUCUGUCGUCUGUUUUGUAAUCCAACAUUUCUGUGUUUACUGUUUGUCGAUGACCUGUAGAAUUUUGAGGGGGGGAAAAAGAUGCACGAUUUGUCAUAUUAUUCUGUCUUCUUUGCUUCUUUAACAGAUGUAAUUACGUUCACAGACUGAUUUAAUGUCCCAGAGCUGCAGCUAAUUCACAGAGACAGUGGGAUCCAGCAGGAAUGUCGGGGCGUCAUUAGGACUCUAUGCACAAUGGGAAAGAAAAGUCUUUUAGAAUUGGAUUCCUUUUGUAUAAUUUGGCAUAACCUCAUUUUUCCACGUGCAUUAAAGUGCUCAUACUGUUAAUUCUCAGAUUAAACUGGAUGGAACCGUGAACAAUUUGUCAUUUGUGAGUGAGAGAGUGUUUCUGCAGAUGUGGGCGUGCACAAGCAAGGGGGGAAAUGUGGGUGUGAGUACGGACAUGGACACGGCCAGGGAGAGAGUAACCUACUUUCAGAACUAUUGGGUACUUGGUCCUACUUGGGUACUUGGUUCUGAUUAGACAUGACGUACCUGUAGGAUCGACGUCCCAAAUUCCACAACAAGAAUAAGAAGGUCCCCUGUAGAUCAGGAACGUUCCAG